AAAAAUCAAUUCAUGUUGGCCCCAGGUGACUUUUAAAAUGUAGAUAUCAUUGAAAAAGCUCCAAAUUAUCUCCCUUUGGUGCAAAAAUGCCAUUUUUUGGCAUUAAAAUUGAAAUAUCUUUUUUACCUCAUCGGUGACUAAUAUUUUUUAUUGUUGUUUUCGAAUAAGCUGUACAUAAACUGAAUAAUUGUAAAAUUUAAG
rnacentral:lncRNA from 1 species